UCAUAAGAUGCAAUAUACUUCUGAGCAUAAGAGUGCUCUAAUUGUCAUAUCACAACUUUUAUAUAAAACCCUGAUUCCAUCUUAUCGUAUAUGAUAUACUGAUAUGAUAAUGAAAAAACAUUGAAAACAAACUCCCUUGUCUCAUGGUGAAAGUGUUUUGCAAGUUUAUUUAGAAGUGAGGUUACAAAAACGAGUUUAAGAAAAUAUUAAGGAAAAAUUUAAAAAGAAUUUAAAAGAACAUGGCCCCAUGAGAUCCCUGUAGGAUGGGAGUGAGCAGAUGUCUGAUUACAGAAGUACAAUCAUUGAUGUAUAAUAAGAAUUUCUGGCCAAUUGCUACCAGAAUAAAUUAUAGGCCAUUAUUUUGCUUGCUGGUCCUAGCUCAACUCCCCGGAAAUGCCAUGAGAUGUGCAAUGCAAAUGUGCAAUGCAGCCAGCAUUGGAAUUGAAGCAGUAUUGGCAGAUUGGUGACAGUAAGUAUGGCUUCUCUUGUAUUUUGAGGGCUUUGCAAGCCAUAUCUACGGAAUUAAGACCACUUGUCAUCCCUUUUUACAGUGAACAAAUCCAAAUGAUCAUCUCUAAUGGUUUAAAUCAAGGGAACACCAGAUAUUUUUGGGAU